rnacentral:rRNA from 1 species
AGUGAACGCUGGCGGUAGGCCUAACACAUGCAAGUCGAACGGCAGCACAGUAAGAGCUUGCUCUUACGGGUGGCGAGUGGCGGACGGGUGAGGAAUACAUCGGAAUCUACUUUUUCGUGGGGGAUAACGUAGGGAAACUUACGCUAAUACCGCAUACGACCUACGGGUGAAAGCAGGGGAUCUUCGGACCUUGCGCGAUUGAAUGAGCCGAUGUCGGAUUAGCUAGUUGGCGGGGUAAAGGCCCACCAAGGCGACGAUCCGUAGCUGGUCUGAGAGGAUGAUCAGCCACACUGGAACUGAGAAACGGUCCAGACUCCUACGGGAGGCAGCAGUGGGGAAUAUUGGACAAUGGGCGCAAGCCUGAUCCAGCCAUACCGCGUGGGUGAAGAAGGCAUUCGGGUUGUAAAGCCCUUUUGUUGGGAAAGAAAAGCAGCAGGUUAAUACCCCGCUGUUCUGACGGUACCCAAAGAAUAAGCACCGGCUAACUUCGUG